rnacentral:rRNA from 1 species
ACUACGGGAGUCAGCAGUGGGGGAUAUUGCACAAUGGGGGGAACCCUGAUGCAGCGACGCCGCGUGGGUGAAGGAGCGUUUCGGCGCGUAAAGCCCUAUCGGCAGGGAAGAAGAUGACGGUACCUGACCAAGCAGCCCCGGCUAACUACGUGCCAGCAGCCGCCGUAAUACGUAGGGGGCAAGCGUUAUCCGGAUUUACGGGGUGUAAAGGGGGCGCAGACGGCAAUGCAAGCCAGGAGUGAAAGCCCGGGGCCCACCCCCGGGACUGCUCUGGGCACUGCAUGGCUGGAGGACAGGAGGGGCAGGCGGAAUUCCUAGGGUAGCGGUGAAAUGCGUAGAUAUUAGGAGGAACACCGGUGGCGAAGGCGGCCUGCUGGACUGUGACUGACGUUGAGGCCCGAAGGCGUGGGGAGCAAACAGGAUUAGAUACCCCUGUAGUC